UACGGAGGGGGCUAGCGUUGUUCGGAAUUACUGGGCGUAAAGCGUGCGUAGGCGGCUUUGUAAGUUAGAGGUGAAAGCCCGGAGCUCAACUCCGGAAUUGCCUUUAAGACUGCAUCGCUAGAAUCAUGGAGAGGUUAGUGGAAUUCCGAGUGUAGAGGUGAAAUUCGUAGAUAUUCGGAAGAACACCAGUGGCGAAGGCGACUAACUGGACAUGUAUUGACGCUGAGGGGCGAAAGCGUGGGGAGCAAACAGG
rnacentral:rRNA from 1 species